AUUCCAAUUUUUAGGGUUUUGUUUGUUCUUGAUAAAACGUCAUUUCAUUCAUUCAUGUGAGAUAUCCAUUCCUUUUAUUCCGAUUACAUUAAAAUGAGACAUUUAAACUAUUAAUUUAAUUGCCACCACUUCCGUGUCCUGAACCUGAACCUGAACCAUAACCAGAACCUCCUCCGCGACCUCCGCCGCCGCCACCGCCGCCUCCUCCACCUCCACCUCCACCUCCUCUAAUGCCAUUUCCUCCGCCAUACCCACUACCUUGUCCAGAACCAUACCCUCCGCCCACUCCAUUACCAUACCCUCCGCCCACUCCAUUACCCAUUCCACCGCCUCCACCUCCUCCCAUUCCACCGCCUCCACCUCCUCCCUUUCCACCACCUCCACCAUAUCCACCACCUUUUCCAGAACCAAACCCUCCACCUCUUCCAGAACCAAACCCUCCACCUCCUCCUUUGCCCCCACCUCCGCCUCCUCCCAUUCCACCGCCUCCGCCUCCUCCCAUUCCGACACCUACGCCUCCUGCAUGACCAGACCAAUACCCUAUCAUGUUAUGUCCAUGUCUACCACCGUGUCUGUAGUGUGUGUGUCUGUGACCCUUACCAUGUCCAUAUCCAUGUCCACUUCCGUGACCGUGACCGUGUCCACUUCCUGCACCAUGACCAGAACCUCCUCCGCUUCCACCACCUCCGCCUCCACCAGAACCACCACCAACUCCUCCACCAUGUCCAUGUCCAUGUCCAUGUCCACUUCCGGAUCCAUGACCGGACCCUCCACCCUUUCCACUACCUCCACCACCGCCGCCGCCGCCACCACCACCACCUCCUCCUUUUACACCACCCCCAUGACCGUAUCCACUUCCUGAACCAUGACCAUAGCCUCCACCCUUUCCACUACCUCCGCCGCCACCACCACCACCGCCGCCGCCGCCACCUCCUCCUCCACUACCAUGACCAGAUCCACUUCCAGAACCAUAUCCAGAUCCUUUUCCACUACCUUUGCCACCACCUCCUCCGCCACCACCUCCUCCUCCACCACCACCACUACUUAAGAGUGUUCUAGCAGCCGUAGUCAUGCUCAAGCAGAGCAUGACAAGAAUCAAUGUCGCUACAAACUUAGAGGCGCCCAUCUUCAUUUGAUGAGAUUACAGGAAACGAUGCAAGGGUAUUUAUAUGUACUUUCAUACAUAUGAAAAUAAGAUCAUGC
rnacentral:lncRNA from 1 species